rnacentral:rRNA from 1 species
UUAGAGUUUGAUCCUGGCUCAGAUUGAACGCUGGCGGCAGGCCUAACACAUGCAAGUCGAGCGGAUGAGUGGAGCUUGCUCCAUGAUUCAGCGGCGGACGGGUGAGUAAUGCCUAGGAAUCUGCCUGGUAGUGGGGGACAACGUUUCGAAAGGAACGCUAAUACCGCAUACGUCCUACGGGAGAAAGCAGGGGACCUUCGGGCCUUGCGCUAUCAGAUGAGCCUAGGUCGGAUUAGCUAGUAGGUGAGGUAAAGGCUCACCUAGGCGACGAUCCGUAACUGGUCUGAGAGGAUGAUCAGUCACACUGGAACUGAGACACGGUCCAGACUCCUACGGGAGGCAGCAGUGGGGAAUAUUGGACAAUGGGCGAAAGCCUGAUCCAGCCAUGCCGCGUGUGUGAAGAAGGUCUUCGGAUUGUAAAGCACUUUAAGUUGGGAGGAAGGGCAGUAAGUUAAUACCUUGCUGUUUUGACGUUACCAACAGAAUAAGCACCGGCUAACUUCGUGCCAGCAGCCGCGGUAAUACGAAGGGUGCAAGCGUUAAUCGGAAUUACUGGGCGUAAAGCGCGCGUAGGUGGUUCAGCAAGUUGGAGGUGAAAUCCCCGGGCUCAACCUGGGAACUGCCUCCAAAACUACUGAGCUAGAGUACGGUAGAGGGUAGUGGAAUUUCCUGUGUAGCGGUGAAAUGCGUAGAUAUAGGAAGGAACACCAGUGGCGAAGGCGACUACCUGGACUGAUACUGACACUGAGGUGCGAAAGCGUGGGGAGCAAACAGGAAAAGAUACCCUGGUAGUCCACGCCGUAAACGAUGUC